rnacentral:rRNA from 1 species
AGUAGCAGCCAUAUCACCCUGCAACUGACAACUGGCAACCCACCAAAGGUAAACAAGUGUGAGCCUGCUCAGUACCUGGAUGGGAGACCUCCUAGGAAAAACUAAGGUUGCUCACC